rnacentral:antisense_RNA from 1 species
CUUCACCGAACCCAGCCACAACGGCUCCUCGCCGGACCGCUCCCGCCCAUAGGUCGCCAGCAACGCCUGCGCCUC